rnacentral:rRNA from 1 species
UACGUAGGUGGCAAGCGUUGUCCGGAUUUAUUGGGUUUAAAGGGUGCGUAGGUGGCCCUGUAAGUCAGUGGUGAAAUAUCUCAGCUUAACUGAGAGGGUGCCAUUGAUACUGCAGGGCUUGAGUACAGAUGAGGUAGGCGGAAUUGACGGUGUAGCGGUGAAAUGCAUAGAUAUCGUCAAGAACACCGAUAGCGAAGGCAGCUUACCAAGCUGUAACUGACGCUGAGGCACGAAAGUGUGGGGAUCAAACAGG